AGGUUCAGCCUUCCUGCCUGCCGUUGCUCUCUGCAAAGAGAGAUCUCCAAAGCCCAGGCAGAGAGCUGCAGCGGCUGCUGAGAUGAACAGGAAGGUCACAGCCAUAGCCCUGGCUGCAAUAUCUGGGCCACAGCUGCUCAAGGCUUCCUUAUGUUCAAACAGGGGCGCUGUCUUUGCAUCGGCCCCGGGAUGAAAGCCGUCAAAAUGGCAGAGAUCGAGAAAGCUUCUGUAAUUUACCCGAGUAACGGCUGCGACAAAGUUGAAGUGAUUGUUACUAUGAAGGCUCAUAAACGACAAAGGUGCCUGGACCCCAGAUCCAAGCAAGCUCGCCUCAUAAUGCAGGCAAUAGAAAAAAAGAAUUUUUUAAGGCGUCAAAACAUGUGACAUCCUGGGAACGUCUGACUGUGAGCCCUCCAAUAAGAACUCUGUGCCAGGAACCUGACCCUCUGCUGUCUUGGAACAUGCAGCCACGUAUUACCAGGCUGCAGAACUUUCUAGAAGGUCCGAUACAUCUAAACUGUUCUACUUGGCUAUGAAAAAUAUUUGUCUCUAAAAGUCACGUGCACACUCCACGCUACCUUCUGUGGUUACAGUGGAUGCAUUGUUACUGCAAUCCGGACCAGUGCUGGAUUCAAAAGCAUCUCUGUGUGUAGUAAAACAUUCCUCAAAGAAUUGUUCAUGCAAAUAAACAUUCCUUUCCCCAAAUAUCACGAGGCACACGAACAUCUAGGAAGACAUUUCCACAUUUUGUCUUGUUUGUUCAUUUAAAAAGACUACGAUUCAUUUCUGCGUUGUAGAAACUAGUAAGAACACUACUGUUUGUUUCCUAGCUAGUCACACUGGCUUCCCCCUGAGGCCUUCUAAGGGGUUAAGAUGUGUAUUUCCUGUACGUCUGGUUUUAUCAGUGACAAUAACAAGGAUAGAUUUUUAAAAUAAAUUGGUUCUGUUCACCAAAGAAAAAUGUUGAAAAAAAAAUCUGUGCACCUCUUUCAGUCUGUUUCCUGUGAGUCUGCCUUUGAGAAAAAUAUAUAAAUAUGUACUUUGUUCUUUUCCUUGGUCAUACUGUGAAUGAAUGGUAGGGAUGGCUGGCUCUGUCUCUCCUUGAAAAGAAUAAGAAUUGUGUUUCUCUAGUAAGCUAUUAUAACACUUAUUAAAUCAUCAACAACUACAUGCUCUCUGGACAUUGAGAUGCCUUUAGAUUUUGUUUUGUUUUGUUUUGUUUUUUAGAGCUACACAAGUUUUUGUCAGAAUUCUUUAGAAACAUACACGCCUUUAAUCCCAGCACUUGGGAGGCAGAGGCAGGCGGAUCUCUGUGAGGUCCAGGCCAGACUGGUCUUUCAGAACAGUCAGGGCUACACAAAAUUUUAAAAUAGAAAGGAAUAUACUUUAGUGAGGAGGAGCUGAAGAUGAGAAAAAAAUAUGAUAAAAAGGUACUGUUAAAAAUUUCAAUAAAAAAAAUUACCUAGGUGUGGUGGUAUACACCUUAAUUUCAGCACUUGAAAGGCAGAGGCAGGAGGAUCUCUUGAGUUCAAGGCCAACCUGGUCUACAGACCAGGAGUUUCAGGACAGCCAGGGCUACACAGAGAAACCCUAUCUUAAAGUAAA